rnacentral:rRNA from 1 species
AGGUAGCAUAAUCAAUAGUUUCUUAAUUAGAAGCUGGAAUGAAUGGAUAAACGAAAAACUGAUUGUCUCUAUUUAAAAUAUAAAAUUUUAUUUUUAAGUAAAAAAGCUUAAAUAAUAUUAAAAGACGAGAAGACCCUAUAGAAUUUUAUAUAAAAACUUUAUUUUAAAAAUUUUGAAGGAAUUAUAUUUUAUUGGGGUGAUAUAAAAAUUUGAUUAACUUUUUUUAGAUUAAAACAACUAUUUUUGAAUUUUUGAUCCAUGGUAAUGAUUAUAAGAAUAAAUUACCUUAGGGAUAACAGCGUA